rnacentral:misc_RNA from 1 species
GAUGAAGAACUUAGCGAAAUGCGAUAAGUAAUGUGAAUUGCAGAAUUCAGUGAAUCAUCGAAUCUUUGAACGCACAUUGCGCCCGCCAGUAUUCUGGCGGGCAUGCCUGUUCGUGCGUCAUUACAACCCUCAGGCCCCCGGGCCUGGCGUUGGGGAUCGGCGGAAGCCCCCUGCGGGCACAACGCCGUCCCCCAAAUACAGUGGCGGUCCCGCCGCAGCUUCCAUUGCGUAGUAGCUAACACCUCGCAACUGGAGAGCGGCGCGGCCACGCCGUAAAACACCCAACUUCUGAAUGUUGACCUCGAAUCAGGUAGGAAUACCCGCUGAACUUAAGCAUAUCAAUAAGCGGAGGA